rnacentral:lncRNA from 1 species
AAUUAAAAACCAAUUGUUCAGAGAACAAUUGAAAGUCUUUCCACAUCAAAGAAAUUUGGAUAAGAAGAGUUUUUUCAUACUGAUGCGAUUAAUAAUGGUUUAAUUAUAUUUUUGAGUGAUAUAAGGGAGAUAAUAUGCUACCUCUGGUGAAAUGAAUGUCACUUCCGGUCUCAUAUGAUAGCUUUUUUCACACUGAUUCCAAAAAUAUAUAGUUUCUAUAUACUUUUGUAUAUAGAAUGGGAGAUAAUUGGCCACUUCCGGUUUGAUGGAAGUCAUUUUUAGUCUUCAGUAAUCAGUUUAUGUAUCUAUAUGACAA